GGGGAAUCUUCCGCAAUGGACGAAAGUCUGGCGGAGCAACGCCGCGUGAGUGAUGACGGCCUUCGGGUUGUAAAGCUCUGUUAAUCGGGACGAAUGGUUCUUGUGCGAAUAGUGCGAGGAUUUGACGGUACCGGAAUAGAAAGCCACGGCUAACUACGUGCCAGCAGCCGCGGUAAUACGUAGGUGGCAAGCGUUGUCCGGAAUUAUUGGGCGUAAAGCGCGCGCAGGCGGAUCAGUCAGUCUGUCUUAAAAGUUCGGGGCUUAACCUCGUGAUGGGAUGGAAACUGCUGAUCUAGAGUAUCGGAGAGGAAAGUGGAAUUCCUAGUGUAGCGGUGAAAUGCGUAGAUAUUAGGAAGAACACCAGUGGCGAAGGCGACUUUCUGGACGAAAACUGACGCUGAGGCGCGAAAGCCAGGGGAGCGAACGGGAUUAGAUACCCCGGUAGUCCUGGCCGUAAACGAUGGGUACUAGGUGUAGGAGGUAUCGACCCCUUCUGUGCCGGAGUUAACGCAAUAAGUACCCCGCCUGGGGAGUACGACCGCAAGGUUG
rnacentral:rRNA from 1 species